rnacentral:rRNA from 1 species
GACGAACGCUGGCGGCGUGCCUAAUACAUGCAAGUAGAACGCUGAAGAGAGGAGCUUGCUCUUCUUGGAUGAGUUGCGAACGGGUGAGUAACGCGUAGGUAACCUGCCUGGUAGCGGGGGAUAACUAUUGGAAACGAUAGCUAAUACCGCAUAAUAGUAGAUGUUGCAUGACAUUUGCUUAAAAGGUGCAAUUGCAUCACUACCAGAUGGACCUGCGUUGUAUUAGCUAGUUGGUGAGGUAACGGCUCACCAAGGCAACGAUACAUAGCCGACCUGAGAGGGUGAUCGGCCACACUGGGACUGAGACACGGCCCAGACUCCUACGGGAGGCAGCAGUAGGGAAUCUUCGGCAAUGGACGGAAGUCUGACCGAGCAACGCCGCGUGAGUGAAGAAGGUUUUCGGAUCGUAAAGCUCUGUUGUAAGAGAAGAACGAGUGUGAGAGUGGAAAGUU